GACAGAGGUGCCAAGCGUUAGGCGGAAUCACUGGGCUUAAAGCGUGUGUAGGCGGACUUGUAAGUACCUUGUGAAAUCCCACGGCUCACCCGUGGAACUGCUGGGUAUACUGCGAGUCUUGAGCCACUUAGGGGCUGUCGGAACAGGCGGUGGAGCGGUGAAAUGCGGAGAUAUCGCCUGGAACGCCAAAGGUGAAAACAGACAGCUGGGAGUGUGCUGACGCUGAGACACGAAAGCCAGGGGAGCGAACGGG
rnacentral:rRNA from 1 species